rnacentral:rRNA from 1 species
AUUGAACGCUGGCGGCAGGCCUAACACAUGCAAGUCGAGCGGAUGAAGGGAGCUUGCUCCUGGAUUCAGCGGCGGACGGGUGAGUAAUGCCUAGGAAUCUGCCUGGUAGUGGGGGAUAACGUCCGGAAACGGGCGCUAAUACCGCAUACGUCCUGAGGGAGAAAGUGGGGGAUCUUCGGACCUCACGCUAUCAGAUGAGCCUAGGUCGGAUUAGCUAGUUGGUGGGGUAAAGGCCUACCAAGGCGACGAUCCGUAACUGGUCUGAGAGGAUGAUAAGUCACACUGGAACUGAGACACGGUCCAGACUCCUAAGGGAGGCAGCAGUGGGGAAUAUUGGACAGUGGGCGAGAGCCUGAUCCAGCCAUGCCGCGUGUGUGAAGAAGGUCUUCGGAUUGUAAAGCACUUUAAGUUGGGAGGAAGGGCAGUAAGUUAAUACCUUGCUGUUUUGACGUUACCAACAGAAUAAGCACCGGCUAACUACGUG